rnacentral:rRNA from 1 species
AUUGAACGCUGGCGGCAUGCCUUACACAUGCAAGUCGAACGGCAGCAUGGGUGCUUGCACCUGAUGGCGAGUGGCGAACGGGUGAGUAAUGCAUCGGAACGUACCCGGAAGUGGGGGAUAACGUAGCGAAAGUUACGCUAAUACCGCAUAUUCUGUGAGCAGGAAAGCGGGGGAUCGCAAGACCUCGCGCUUCCGGAGCGGCCGAUGUCGGAUUAGCUAGUUGGCGGGGUAAAGGCCCACCAAGGCAACGAUCCGUAGCGGGUCUGAGAGGAUGAUCCGCCACACUGGGACUGAGACACGGCCCAGACUCCUACGGGAGGCAGCAGUGGGGAAUUUUGGACAAUGGGCGCAAGCCUGAUCCAGCCAUGCCGCGUGAGUGAAGAAGGCCUUCGGUUGUAAGACGUCUUUCGUCGGGGAGGAAAUACGCGAUCUCCUAAUACGGGGUGUGGAGUGACGGUACCGAACUAACGAAGACACCGGCGUACUAACGUCGCCAGCAGCCG